rnacentral:rRNA from 1 species
CGGGUGAGUAACACGUGAGUAACCUGCCCUUGACUUCGGGAUAACUCCGGGAAACCGGGGCUAAUACCGGAUAUGAGCCGUCCUCGCAUGGGGGUGGUUGGAAAGUUUUUCGGUCAGGGAUGGGCUCGCGGCCUAUCAGCUUGUUGGUGGGGUGAUGGCCUACCAAGGCGACGACGGGUAGCCGGCCUGAGAGGGCGACCGGCCACACUGGGACUGAGACACGGCCCAGACUCCUACGGGAGGCAGCAGUGGGGAAUAUUGCACAAUGGGCGAAAGCCUGAUGCAGCGACGCCGCGUGAGGGAUGAAGGCCUUCGGGUUGUAAACCUCUUUCAGCAGGGAAGAAGCGCAAGUGACGGUACCUGCAGAAGAAGCGCCGGCUAACUACGUGCCAGCAGCCGCGGUAAUACGUAGGGCGCAAGCGUUGUCCGGAAUUAUUGGGCGUAAAGAGCUCGUAGGCGGUUUGUCGCGUCUGGUGUGAAAACUCGAGGCUCAACCUCGAGCUUGCAUCGGGUACGGGCAGACUAGAGUGCGGUAGGGGAGACUGGAAUUCCUGGUGUAGCGGUGGAAUGCGCAGAUAUCAGGAGGAACACCGAUGGCGAAGGCAGGUCUCUGGGCCGCAACUGACGCUGAGGAGCGAAAGCAUGGGGAGCGAACAGGAUUAGAUACCCUGGUAGUCCAUGCCGUAAACGUUGGGCACUAGGUGUGGGGCUCAUUCCACGAGUUCCGUGCCGCAGCAAACGCAUUAAGUGCCCCGCCUGGGGAGUACGGCCGCAAGGCUAAAACUCAAAGGAAUUGACGGGGGCCCGCACAAGCGGCGGAGCAUGCGGAUUAAUUCGAUGCAACGCGAAGAACCUUACCAAGGCUUGACAUGCACGAGAAGCACCAGAAGAUGGUGGUCUCUUUGGACACUCGUGCACAG